rnacentral:rRNA from 1 species
AAAAAAGGUAAGCUACUAAGAGCGAAUGGUGGAUGCCUUGACUGGUAAAGGCGAUGAAGGACGUACUAGACUGCGAUAAGCUACGGGGAGCUGUCAAGAAGCUUUGAUCCGUAGAUUUCCGAAUGGGGCAACCCAAUGUAUAGAGAUAUACAUUACCUAUAUAGGAGCGAACGAGGGGAAUUGAAACAUCUUAGUACCCUCAGGAAAAGAAAUCAAUAGAGAUUGCGUCAGUAGCGGCGAGCGAAAGCGCAAGAGGGCAAACCCAGUGCUUGCACUGGGGGUUGUAGGACUGCAAUGUGCAAGAGGUAAGUUUAGCAGAACAUUCUGGAAAGUAUAACCAUAGAGGGUGAUAGUCCCGUAUGCGAAAAACAAACCUUAGCUAGCAGUAUCCUGAGUAGGGCGGGACACGAGGAAUCCUGUCUGAAUCCGGGUCGACCACGAUCCAACCCUAAAUACUAAUACCAGAUCGAUAGUGCACAAGUACCGUGAGGGAAAGGUGAAAAGAACUGAGGUGAUCAGAGUGAAAUAGAACCUGAAACCAUUUGCUUACAAUCAUUCAGAGCCCUAUGUAGCAAUACAGGGUGAUGGACUGCCUUUUGCAUAAUGAGCCUGCGAGUUGUGGUGUCUGGCAAGGUUAAGCAAACGCGAAGCCGUAGCGAAAGCGAGUCUGAAUAGGGCGCUUAGUCAGAUGCUGCAGACCCGAAACGAAGUGAUCUAUCCAUGAGCAAGUUGAAGCUAGUGUAAGAACUAGUGGAGGACUGAACCCAUAGGCGUUGAAAAGCCCCGGGAUGACUUGUGGAUAGGGGUGAAAGGCCAAUCAAACUUCGUGAUAGCUGGUUCUCUCCGAAAUAUAUUUAGGUAUAGCGUUGUGUCGUAAUAUAAGGGGGUAGAGCACUGAAUGGGCUAGGGCAUACACCAAUGUACCAAACCCUAUCAAACUCCGAAUACCUUAUAUGUAAUCACAGCAGUCAGGCGGCGAGUGAUAAAAUCCGUCGUCAAGAGGGAAACAACCCAGACUACCAGCUAAGGUCCCUAAAUCUUACUUAAGUGGAAAACGAUGUGAAGUUACUUAAACAACCAGGAGGUUGGCUUAGAAGCAGCCAUCCUUUAAAGAAAGCGUAAUAGCUCACUGGUCUAGUGAUUUUGCGCGGAAAAUAUAACGGGGCUAAAGUAAGUACCGAAGCUGUAGACUUGCACACAACUUAGAUUAUUUAAGUUUAGAAUAUGAGAAACUAAGUUAUAUGUUUAGUUAUAUUUUUACUGAUUUUUAUAGAGUAAAGAUAGAAAUAAAACUUAGUAAAAUCAGUAAAAAUAUUCUUAGACUAAAGUUAAGUAGUUUAAGUUGUGUGCAAGUGGUAGGAGAGCGUUCUAUUUGCGUCGAAGGUAUACCGGUAAGGAGUGCUGGAGCGAAUAGAAGUGAGCAUGCAGGCAUGAGUAGCGAUAAUUAAUGUGAGAAUCAUUAACGCCGUAAACCCAAGGUUUCCUACGCGAUGCUCGUCAUCGUAGGGUUAGUCGGGUCCUAAGUCGAGUCCGAAAGGGGUAGACGAUGGCAAAUUGGUUAAUAUUCCAAUACCAACAUUAGUGUGCGAUGGAAGGACGCUUAGGGCUAAGGGGGCUAGCGGAUGGAAGUGCUAGUCUAAGGUCGUAGGAGGUUGUACAGGCAAAUCCGUAUAACAAUACUCCGAGAACUGAAAGGCUUUUUGAAGUCUUCGGAUGGAUAGAAGAACCCCUGAUGCCGUCGAGCCAAGAAAAGUUUCUAAGUUUAGCUAAUGUUGCCCGUACCGUAAACCGACACAGGUGGGUGGGAUGAGUAUUCUAAGGCGCGUGGAAGAACUCUCUUUAAGGAACUCUGCAAAAUAGCACCGUAUCUUCGGUAUAAGGUGUGGUUAGCUUUGUAUUAGGAUUUACUCCGAAAGCAAGGAAACUUACAACAAAGAGUCCCUCCCGACUGUUUACCAAAAACACAGCACUCUGCUAACUCGUAAGAGGAUGUAUAGGGUGUGACGCCUGCCCGGUGCUCGAAGGUUAAUUGAUGGGGUUAGCAUUAGCGAAGCUCUUGAUCGAAGCCCGAGUAAACGGCGGCCGUAACUAUAACGGUCCUAAGGUAGCGAAAUUCCUUGUCGGUUAA